rnacentral:siRNA from 1 species
GUUGUAGGAGCCGCCACGCGCCGU